GAGAUAAGAGAGAAAAAAAAGGAGCAGCAAGUCAGUGUCAAUAGCUGUAAGCAAGAAGGACCAAUAAACCCACCAUUAAAUACUCUCUCUACUUCUCUGAUCCUCUCUUAUGGCACAGUAAAGAAGAAUACCAUAGAAGAGAAAGAGAUAGAGAUCGUGUAUAUAUGCAUGUGUCUUUCAUUUUCUUAAUUUACUCCAAAUAAACAUGCUUUGUUCUUCUGUCACUUCCUAUAUAUGUUCCUAGCUAGCUAUGUAGCUUAGCUAUAUUUUAUUACUCAUCAAGCUUCCGUUCUUCUCAUCUUCUAUCUAUGUUGGUUUGAGAGGUUGAAGCUGCCAGCAUGAUCUGGUAAUUUACCAAACUCGCUCUAGAUCGCCUUAUCAUUAAUUAAAAGCAACAAAAAAGAAACAAUUUCAUCGUCUAUAUAUUAUUUUUCUAAAUUUUUAAUUAAUUUUUUUUGUUAUUAAAUAUUUCUAUAUUUUUAGUAGUACUAGAUCGUUUAGAUUCAAACUUAUUGGCAGUGUAUAUAUAUAUAUAUAUAGAGAGCAAGUUUCAAUUUCAUGGGGCUUGGUUUCUUGAACUAAAGAUCCAUUAAUUAAUUAUAUAUAGGAAAGAGGCAAAGAGGGUAAUUUUGAGUUUUUAGAUUAUGGUUGCAUAUCAGGUCAUCUAGCAGCUUCAAUCACUCAAUCACCAACAGAUUUUUUUAUUUAUACUUUAAUUUCUUCGCUACUCAUCAUCAUUGUCAUCGUCAUCACCAACUAUGGGACUAUUGUUUCAGCUACAAUUUCAAUUUCAGGUAAAUUCUGACUGAAAUUGAGGGAUUUGAGCAAAACUCUGAAAAAGGCUGACAAAAGGACUGCUGAUGCUGUUGGAAUCUGACCUCCCUGCACUCAAAGUAGAUUUUCUGGAGCUACCGAAAUCCAAAUGGCGCGAUCUCAACGGCGUUGGAAAGUAGACAUCCAGGGCUUUCCAGCAAUAUAUAAUAGUCCAUACUUUAUUUGGAAAUUGAUGACGUAACUUGGCGUUGAACGCCAAGUACAUGCUGCUGUCUGGAGUUAAACGCCAGAAAAACGUCAUGAUCCGGAGUUGAACGCCCAAAACACGUCAUAACUCGGAGUUCAACUCCAAGAGAAGCCUCAGCUCGUGGAUUUGUGCAUCAAAUACUUACUCAUGUAAACCCUAGGAGCUAGUUUAUUAUAAAUAGAACAUUUAACUAAUGUAUUUGACAUCUUUUGAUCACUUUAGAUCUUAGGAUCAGAUCUCUGGACGCCUAGUCCUUAGACCUUGGGGGCUGGCCUCUCGGCCAUGCCUGAACCUCUCUCACUUAUGUAUUUUCAACGGUGGAGUUUCUACACACCAUAGAUUAAGGGUGUGGAGCUCUGCUGUACCUCAAGUUUCAAUGCCAUUAAGAUGAUAUCCUAUUCAAUUC